GGAACAAACUUUUUUUAUAUUUUAAAGACAAAUGUUAGAUAAAUUAAGAGAUAUAAACAAUUGAAUAUUAUAUAAUACAAAGACUCAUUUUUCUAAAAGGAAUAAAUUAAGCAAAAUGGGGCAUAAAGGGAUAGAUCAGGAAAGAGGUCCUAGAGAAGAAGGCAUUUGAAUAUGGCCUGGAAGGAUAGAAUUUCAGCAGACAGAGAUUAUGGGAAGGGCAUUAUCAACAGAAGGAAGAGACUAAGUCCCAGAGGAUAAGAAAAUUGGAGUGGGGCAGGGCGCCCUGGAAUGGGUUCGCCCUGAGAGAGGGGCCUGUGCCUUGGAAAGCAUCACAGUUCCGGCAGCGUCCGGUGAGCUCUUGCUGGCCCUUGAAAAUCCAGGGGAGAGGGUGUAAAUCUCGCCCCGGCCGUACCCAUAUCCGCAGCAGGUCUCCAAGGUGAACAGCCUCU
rnacentral:ncRNA from 1 species